rnacentral:tRNA from 1 species
GGGCCGGUAGCGCAAUGGUAGCGCGCCGCCAUGGCAGGGCGGAGGCUCCGGGUUCAAAUCCCGGCCAGUCCA